UUCCUCCCUUUCUCCUCCUUUAUGGUGGCCAACAAGCCACUAUAACCCAAGGAUCAGCCAUCUAAAACCUCUUUUUUCUCUCUCUUACCCUAUUUUGGCUCGAUUUUGUGCCUUUCAAACCAUUAGAAUCUAUUAUCGUCCAUCUCCUCUAUUUCCUCUCGAAUGGAGCCAAUCCCUCAAAUUUUUAGUCGAUUUAAAUAUCCA
rnacentral:lncRNA from 1 species